rnacentral:rRNA from 1 species
UACGGGGGGGGCAAGCGUUGUUCGGAAUUACUGGGCGUAAAGAGCGUGUAGGCGGCCCGGUAAGUCCGCUGUAAAAGUCAAAGGCUCAACCUUUGAAUGUCAGUGGAUACUGCCGGGCUAGAGUCCGGAAGAGGCGAGUGGAACUCCUGGUGUAGCGGUGGAAUGCGCAGAUAUCAGGAAGAACACCGACGGCGAAGGCAGCUCGCUGGGACGGUACUGACGCUGAGGCGCGAAAGCGUGGGGAGCGAACAGG